AGAACGAACGCUGGCGGCAGGCUUAACACAUGCAAGUCGAACGGUUGUAGCAAUACAGCAGUGGCAGACGGGUGAGUAACACGUGGGAACCUUCCUAGGGGUACGGAACAACUCAGGGAAACUUGAGCUAAUACCGUAUACGUCCGUGAGGAGAAAGAUUUAUCGCCCCUAGACGGGCCCGCGUAGGAUUAGGUAGUUGGUGAGGUAACGGCUCACCAAGCCUACGAUCCUUAGCUGAUCUGAGAGGAUGAUCAGCCACACUGGGACUGAGACACGGCCCAGACUCCUACGGGAGGCAGCAGUGGGGAAUCUUGGACAAUGGGCGCAAGCCUGAUCCAGCCAUGCCGCGUGAGUGAAGAAGGCCUUCGGUGUAAGCUCUUUUACCGAGGACGAUAAGUGACGGUACCGUGGAGAAGUAACGCCCCGGACAACCUUCGUACGCCGAGUACGACGACGUACGUACGUCGUAGACGG
rnacentral:rRNA from 1 species